GGUUUUGUAUUCAAUGAUGAUUUAAAUUUGCAAAAUUUGAGGUGAGAGCUACUCCAAGACUU
rnacentral:tRNA from 1 species